rnacentral:rRNA from 1 species
GACGAACGCUGGCGGCGCGCUUAACACACGCAAGUCGAACGGAAAGGCCCUGCUUUUGUGGGGUGCUCGAGUGGCGAACGGGUGAGUAACACGUGAGUAACCUGCCCUUGACUUUGGGAUAACUUCAGGAAACUGGGGCUAAUACCGGAUAGGAGCUCCUGCUGCAUGGUGGGGGUUGGAAAGUUUCGGCGGUUGGGGAUGGACUCGCGGCUUAUCAGCUUGUUGGUGGGGUAGUGGCUUACCAAGGCUUUGACGGGUAGCCGGCCUGAGAGGGUGACCGGCCACAUUGGGACUGAGAUACGGCCCAGACUCCUACGGGAGGCAGCAGUGGGGAAUAUUGCACAAUGGGCGGAAGCCUGAUGCAGCAACGCCGCGUGCGGGAUGACGGCCUUCGGGUUGUAAACCGCUUUCGCCUGUGACGAAGCGUGAGUGACGGUAAUGGGUAAAGAAGCACCGGCUAACUACGUG